GGCGUCCGAGUUGUAAUCUAUAGAAGUGUUUUCCGCGAUGGACCGUGCACAAGUCUCCUGGAACGGUGCGUCAUAGAGGGUGAGAAUCCCGUAUAUGGCACGGACUCCCAUUGCUAUGUGAUACACUCUCGAC
rnacentral:rRNA from 1 species